UACGUAGGAGGCGAGCGUUGUCCGGAGUCAUUGGGCGUAAAGAGCACGCAGGCGGUUUGGCAAGUCGGGUGUGAAAACCCGAAGCUCAACUGCGGGCCUGCAUCCGAAACUGCCCGACUAGAGGUAGGUAGGGGAGAUCGGAAUUCCUGGUGUAGCGGUGAAAUGCGCAGAUAUCAGGAGGAACACCGGUGGCGAAGGCGGAUCUCUGGGCCUUACCUGACGCUCAGGUGCGAAAGCUAGGGGAGCGAACAGG
rnacentral:rRNA from 1 species